AUUGAACGCUGGCGGCAUGCUUUACACAUGCAAGUCGAACGGCAGCGCGGGCUUCGGCCUGGAGGCGAGUGGCGAACGGGUGAGUAAUACAUCGGAAAGUGCCCAGUAGUGGGGGAUAGCUCGGCGAAAGCCGGAUUAAUUCCGCAUACGAACUGAGGGUGAAAGCGGGGGGUCUUCGGACCUCGCGCUAUUGGAGCUGCCGAUGGCCGCUUAGCUCGUUGGUGGGGUAAAGGCCUACCAAGGCGACGCUCUGUAGCUGGUCUGAGAGGACGACCAGCCACACUGGGACUGAGACACGGCCCAGACUCCUACGGGAGGCAGCAGUGGGGAAUGUUGGACAAUGGGCGAAAGCCUGAUCCAGCAAUGCCGCGUGUGUGAUGAAGGCCUUCGGGUUGUAAAGCACUUUUGGCGGGAACGAAAAGGACUGUGCCAAUACCACGGUUCGAUGACGGUACCCGCAGAAUAAGCACCGGCUAACUACGUG
rnacentral:rRNA from 1 species